rnacentral:rRNA from 1 species
GUGGGGAAUAUUGGACAAUGGGCGCAAGCCUGAUCCAGCCAUGCCGCGUGAGUGAUGAAGGCCCUAGGGUUGUAAAGCUCUUUCAGUGGGGACGAUAAUGACGGUACCCACAGAAGAAGCCCCGGCUAACUUCGUGCCAGCAGCCGCGGUAAUACGAAGGGGGCUAGCGUUGUUCGGAUUUACUGGGCGUAAAGCGCACGUAGGCGGAUCGUUAAGUCGAGGGUGAAAUCCUGGAGCUCAGCUCCAGAACUGCCUUCGAUACUGGCGAUCUUGAGUCCGGAAGAGGUGAGUGGAACUCCUAGUGUAGAGGUGAAAUUCGUAGAUAUUCGGAAGAACACCAGUGGCGAAGGCGACUCACUGGCCCGUUACUGACGCUGAGGCGCGAAAGCGUGGGGAGCAAACAGGAUUAGAUACCCUGGUAGUCC